UGAGUGCACGUGAGCAACCUGCCCCUGACUCCGGGAUAAACGGUGGAAACGCCGUCUAAUACCGGAUACGACCCGCCACCUCAUGGUGGAGGGUGGAAAGUUUUUCGGUCAGGGAUGGGCUCGCGGCCUAUCAUCUUGUUGGUGGGGUAACGGCCUACCAAGGCGAUUACGGGUAGCCGGCCUGAUAAGGCGACCGGCCACCCUGGGACUGAUACACGGCCCACACUCCUGCGGGAGGCAGCAGUGGGGAAUAUUGCGCAAUGGGCGAAAGCCUGACGCACCGACCCCGCGUGGGGGAUGACGGCSUUCKRGUUGUAAACCUCUUUUACCACCAACGCAGGCUCKAAGUUCUCUUCKGGUUGACGGUAGGUGGGGAAUAAGGACCRGCUAACUACGUGCCASCAKCCGCGGUAAUACGUAGGGUCCGAGCGUUGUCYGGAAUUAUUGGGCGUAAAGAGCUCGUARGCGGCGUGUCGCGUCUGCUGUGAAAGAMCGGGGCUUAACUCCGGUUMUGCAGUGGAUACGGGCAUGCUAGAGGUAGGUAGGGGAGACUGGAAUUCCUGGUGUAKCGGUGAAAUGCGCAGAUAUCAGGAGGAACACCGGUGGCGAAGGCGGGUCUCUGGGCCUUACCUGACGCUGAGGAGCGAAARCAUGGGGAGCGAACAGGAUUAGAUACCCUGGUAGUCCAUGCCGUAAACGUUGGGCGCUAGGUGUGGGGACUUUCCACGGUUUCCGCGCCGUAGCUAACGCAUUAAGCGCCCCGCCUGGGGAGUACGGCCGCAAGGCUAAAACUCAAAGGAAUUGACGGGGGCCCGCACCAGCGGCGGAGCAUGUUGCUUAAUUCGACGCAACGCGAAGAACCUUACCAAGGUUUGACAUCACCCGUGGACUCGCAGAGAUGUGAGGUCAUUUAGUUGGCGGGUGACAGGUGGUGCAUGGCGUCGUCAGCUCGUGUCGUGAGAUGUUGGGUUAAGUCCCGCAACGAGCGCAACCCUUGUUCCAUGUUGCCAGCACGUAAUGGUGGGGACUCAUGGGAGACUGCCGGGGUCAACUCGGAGGAAGGUGGGGAUGACGUCAAGUCAUCAUGCCCCUUAUGUCUUGGGCUGCAAACAUGCUACAAUGGCCGGUACAAUGGGCGUGCGAUACCGUAAGGUGGAGCGAAUCCUUAAAAGCCGGUCUCAGUUCGGAUUGGGGUCUGCAACUCGACCCCAUGAAGGUGGAGUCGCUAGUAAUCGCCGAUACAGCA
rnacentral:rRNA from 1 species